UCAUAAAAAUCAGGGCAAAUCAUUUUGAAAUUGGGUUCAUAGAAUUGAUGAGAAUGAUACGUAUUUGGCAAAGAUGGCAAUCAAAAUUCAAUCAACGAUUUCUCACACUCCAAUCUCCAUAAUAACAAAGAUUUGAUUCACCUCAGCUAAUAUAAUUCAAUAUGCUAUAAGACCAAAAGAGGUUGAAGCCACGAGGAGGGUUUUUUUGCGCGGCAGCCAGAACAGGUUUCUCAUACAAAAACCGUGGAAAAAGCAUGAGUGGCAGCCAAGGAUUUGGAUCAAUUAGAGGCGUUUGAAGGAUUAGACAAGCUCCUCGAGUGCUCUCCGAAGCUAUUUCAACACUCCUCAAGCCAAUUCGCGUUCGGAUUCACGGCCAAAAACACACGGUUUGCACAUCUUUGGUUCAGUUUCGCUCAUAUACUCAUCAUAAAUCACAUAUGAAAAUAUAUUUUGAACCGUGAUAAUGUUUAGAAGUGUCCUGUAUCAUUUAAUUUGCGUUUAGCUUUGGAUUGUAAACUAUGCCAUGGCUAGGGUUUCUGAGGUUGAAAUUGGGAAUUAUGUGUACACAAAAAAUUGGCCGAAACCAGGGGUUCUAUUGGAACCGCGACACAGCAGAUGGUUAAUCGGGGCCAUUAUUCUGUGUUUAUUGUCUGAUUAGGGCAGGUUUCACGGUGGAGGUUCUAGGCCACGAGUUCUCUGUUUCGGCGAAGAAGAAGGAAGGGAACGAGCGCGUUCAGCUUUUUUUUUUUAAUUUUGCUCUAUUGAUUUGUAAGAUAUAUUAUUUGAAUAGCUGAUUUGCUAAACAAGAUCCAGAUACGGCGCAAGUGCUAAGAAAUCUUCUUGUUCACCAAAGGGGAAGGGGUUCGAUCCCUGGUCACAACAUAUAUUUUUUCAAACAUUCUCCCCAGGUUCCUGUGUAUCUCCCUCCUAUGGCUUGCUAUGCGCCUUCAGUCAACUACCGUUGGAUCAAUCACAGCUAAGAUUUUUUUUAUAAUUAUAUAAAUUCUUUUUAUUCCUUUUAAUUUCUCUUUUAUUUUAUUUUUUUACUAUAAAUAUUUGUAUGUUUUUUACUUGUUCUAAAAUUUGGUUUUUAUAAUAGUUACAAUUAUUUUAUCGAAAGUUUGAGUUUUCAUAAUUUUAGUCAUAAUUGUUUUAUUGUUAUCAUUUAAAAUCCAAUGUCAUAUUCUUUUUAUGGAUUAAAUAAUUAAGAUUACAUCCAAUAAUUGUUUAAUUGAUAUAUUGAUUCGAACUCUCGAUUUUGCUCGGUUAACUUUGUUAUUAUUUCAAUUAGUUUAUUAUUUUAUUAAUCAUGGUUGAUUUAUGCCCUAAAUCAGGGUUUGCGAGGUUUGUCUUUAGAUCACUCAUACACUGAAAUUUUUCCUUUGUCCUUGUGCAUUUCUUUUCAGGAUUAUUAUCAAACACCUUCCGACCACGCGCCACACCCCUUACGAAGCUAAGUCCCGACUCUAUUUCAUUGUUUAUUCCUUAUUUACAUUAUAAAAUUGUUAUUAGGGUAAAAACCUCGAAAGUCAAUGGACUCUUUUGCAGUCACGUUUUUAUUUAUUGUUGCCCAUUUUUUCAGGGUUAACCUCGAGGCUAUUUCCGACUAUCAACCUUCAUCAAUCGAAGCUAAGUUUCUUUUACCCUUUUUCUUUCAUUGUUAUUUUAAUUGAUUAGGGUUAACCAUACAUGCGUUGGAACCGAUAAUGCACUCACCCCUAUUUUUUGUUUAUUUCUCCCUUUUCCAAUUUUCAGGGUUUGCCAAUUGUCAAAGCUCAAUAGUCGGUAACCCUAAACUCUAGUCUCUUUUAUCCUUUUUGCUUUAAUUAUUGUCAAACCCGCUGGAUUCAUUCUCCCUUUCCCCCCGCUGGUUUCUUUUUCCCCUUCCCCAUAUUGCUAUUAUUACUGCUAAUAUUAAUUGUUGUGGUAAGUAAUCCUAGGGAGUGAUAACCCUGAACUGAAUUAGAAUCAUUAAUUUUACAAGAUAAUUUGUUCUGAAUAUGAUCAUGUGAUUGUUGCACCCACGCACGCUUUUGUGGUAACCUCUCUUGUUGCCUGUUGCCUGUUUCCUUGUGUUUUUGCAGAAUAGCCAUGUCCCUCGAAUACGAGGAUACCUCAGCAAUGUUGCCCUAAAUUCAUUCUCAAGGUCAUAAGUCUCUAAUGAUGCUGCCUUCGAUACGCUAAUAUGAUCUCGUCUCUCGAAAGUUGCCUACGAAAGGCUGAGGUAUCCUCUGGUUGCCUAAAUGAAAGGCUAUUCUGGUCCUUCCCCUAGACUACCCGCCUCUCUAUGGCAUGGGACAGUCUUAUGGUGAACGACAUUGCGACGACCCUUCAACCUCCAAAUGAAAGGCUUCCUGCCCUCUUAUGGCAUGGAUAGACCCUUUCGCCCUGAAAGGCUAAAAGAACUGAUUUUCUACAUUAUUAAGGUAAUUGCCCCUAAUUGCCUUGCUCUGGCUAAAAACAUUUUCAUAUUCUUUCUCAUAAACCUUCAAAAUGGCUACGCUCAUUUAUGAGCUAAAGUCCGUAUUCACUUCUUCUACAUUUCUGAACGAAAAAGGGCAAAGCAAUUAAGAGCCCAUGGAAAACCAUGGAUGCAAAGGGUACCUUACACCUUCCCUUUGCAUAAAUUACCCCCCGAACUCAAUUUUUAUUUAAAAGGUUUUUUCUGUUCUUUUAGCCUUUUUAUUUAUUUGGAUAAAAUAAAAGUCGGUGACGACUCAUGCUUAACCACGACAUUUCGAUAAUAAAGUCAGUUCACCGUAUUACAUAAUCGAUCUAGGGUCUAGCAUCAAUUUAAUCCCUUUAUCUAUUGUCAAGAAGUUAGGGAAUAUUGUGAUGAAGCCUACUAAGAUGACAUUACAAUUAGCCGACAAGUCUAUCACAUCACCGUAUGGAGUGGUUCAUGAUUUGCUAGUGAAAGUAGAUAAAUUUUUCUUCCCGGUGGAUUUUGUGGUUGUAGACAUGGAAGAAGAUCAUGAGGUACCGGUAAUCCUAGGAAGGCCAUUCAUGAAAACCACCCGAAUGAUGAUUGAUAUGGAUGCGAGGAUCAUGAAAAUAAGGGUGCAAGAUGAAGAGGUAAAGUUUCAUCUGUUCAAGGCCAAGGAACACCCCAUGAACAAGAUCGAUAUCUUCCAAAUUAAUGCAACCAAAGAAGAUAACAUUCAGCCUCCAAGCUACUUUCAAGUUGGACAAAAGGUGCUCCUGUGCAGGUCAAAAUUACGAUGUUUUCCAGGUAAAGCAACAUCAAAAUGGUCAGGACCAUUGGUAGUAAGAGAGAUAUGCGACCACAGAGCCGUUAUGGUGGAGAAUCCUCAUACGAAAGAGAAGAGAACCGUGAAUGGAAAACGGUUGAAAGAUUAUUUUAGGGGAGAGGAGCCAAAGUCACCAUUUUUAAGUCCUUGAAAGCAUGGACCUUCGAGCUCAAACAACGUUAAACAAAGCGCUUGUUGGGAGGCAACCCAAUGUGGUACAAACUUUCUUUCAAUUACUUUAUUUUCAGUAUGUUUGUUUAUAUAUCAUCAGUCACCAUGGCAAACCAAGGGGAAAACAAAAUAAUAUUUUUUUUUGAAAAACAAUGCGCCUCGCCAGCGAAAGGGCGCGACGUGAAGCUGGAACAGAAGGUUUGGCGCGCCUCGCCAUGAAAGGCCGAGGCGCGACACUAUGACUUUUCAGUUUUUAAAAACAUAAAAAUAGGGUUUUAGUAAACCCCACUUCAUUUGUUUUCCCCCCACACCGAGCAGCCACGGCCUCCAGCGAGCCUCGAGCAAACAUUUCAAAAAAAUUAUUCGUUCAUCGUCUGCAUCCCAUCCCCAACUCCAUUCAAGAUGCAACCAGCCAAGAGAGGUCGCACCAAGACCACCAGUGUCGGUCCUCAUGGUACCCGUCCCCGAGAACCCAAUACCAGAAGAUUUUUGGGUCCUUCACAGAAGGCGAGAUUUGCUCAACUGGCCUCUCGCACCAUUCUCCCGGAGAAGCUAGUUGUCCCAAAGGACCAGAGCGAGUACAACAUGCUUUGGAGUUACUUUGAACACCGGAAGUGGGACCGUGUAUUUGAUCCGUAUAAAGAAGUUAAUAUGGAUAUUGUACGGGAAUUCUAUGCAAAUGCCAUCAAGCUCACCCCAUAUACCAUAGCCUACAACUACGAGACGUUUGUUAGGGGCCACACCAUCCGCUUUGACCGACAAGCAGUAAGUGAAUUUUUGGGUAACCCGCUGGAAUUACCAGAAGGUGAAAAAUGUUACUAUAGGAAGCAUCUGUUGAAAACAACACACAGGCUGGAUGAUGUUUCAAGAAAGAUUUGUAUAAAGGGAAAAGGACCGGUACUUGGGAAGAAUGGAGCCCCAAUCCACUGCCACAGGAAAAACUUAAACAUCGAUGCUCGAGCAGUGUUGACAAUCAUGAGUUACAACAUCCGACCCUGGGCACAUGUUACUACCAUCCCUAUGGAUGCGACAUUACUGAUAAGAGUCCUCGUGUCCCGACACUCAGUGGACAUUGCUUUAAGGUAGUGGUUAACCUAUGAAUAUACAAUUGUUUGAAUUUAUUAUCAAUAAGAAACCUUGUUUUUAUCUUAAA